rnacentral:rRNA from 1 species
UACGUAGGGGGCGAGCGUUGUCCGGAAUCAUUGGGCGUAAAGCGCGUGUAGGCGGCUCGAUAAGUCCGGUGUGAAACCUUGGGGCUCAACCCCAAGCCUGCACUGGAUACUGCCGAGCUAGAGUCCGGGAGGGGAGAGCGGAAUUCCUAGUGUAGCGGUGAAAUGCGCAGAUAUCAGGAGGAACACCAGCGGCGAAGGCGGCGCUCUGGGCCGGAACUGACGCUGAGGAGCGAAAGCGUGGGGAGCGAACAGG